rnacentral:rRNA from 1 species
UACGAAGGGGGCUAGCGUUGCUCGGAAUCACUGGGCGUAAAGGGUGCGUAGGCGGGUUUUUAAGUCAGGGGUGAAAUCCUGGAGCUCAACUCCAGAACUGCCUUUGAUACUGAAGAUCUUGAGUCCGGGAGAGGUGAGUGGAACUGCGAGUGUAGAGGUGAAAUUCGUAGAUAUCGGGAAGAACACCAGUGGCGAAGGCGACUUAC